GUUCUUACUUGGGCAAAACAUACACUAAAAUUGGAACCAUACAGAGAAGGUUAGCAUGGUCCCUGUGUAAAAAUGACUUGUAAAUUCAAAAAGUGUUCCAUAUUUUU